GAAGAUAUAAGUGGUAAAAGCAGGAUGCAAACCAGCAUUCCUAACCUAAAGUUACUGCACUGAAACACUUAAGAGAGAGGUCAAGAUCAACUUGAAUCAGUAGCCAAAAAGGAAGAAACUUGGGAACAUUCUUGAAAUGACAUCGAUUUCUCUCUGCUGGGAGUUAGUGAGGUGAAGUGGGAGAAGAACUUGGGCAGAGUUCUAACAACUGAACAGCUACCCCAGGAAAAGAGAAAGACAACAGUAAUCGACUUAAGAAGCUCUACUUAGAGAUCAAAGAGGUGGACUACACUAAUAAGCAGGAGGAGAGGAGAUAGGAAAUGAAUAAUUAAGAUGGAUUUAUCAGAAACAAGGAGAUCAUAUUGAAAUGUAUUCCUGGAGCACCGGGGCUUCACUGACCUCUCUGCCGUGGCUGGAGUCAAUGGUGAUUUCGCACCACAGCACACCAAGAGGCAUUAGACUGUUUCAAACUGUCUUCUGGGGAAGCUUAAUAAGACCUUAUGCUUUUAUGUGGGUCUUUCCCAAUGCGGCAACCUGAUGUCACUCCCUGUGUCCAUGAAGGGGAAUAUCAGAGACUGCUGGCAAUUUGGGCCCUUGUUGUCUGUAUCUCAACACAAAUUCAACC
rnacentral:lncRNA from 1 species